CCUACGGGAGGCAGCAGUGGGGAAUUUUGGACAAUGGGCGCAAGCCUGAUCCAGCAAUGCCGCGUGAGUGAAGAAGGCCUUCGGGUUGUAAAGCUCUUUUGUCAGGGAAGAAACGGUGGGAGCUAAUAUCUCCUACUAAUGACGGUACCUGAAGAAUAAGCACCGGCUAACUACGUGCCAGCAGCCGCGGUAAUACGUAGGGUGCAAGCGUUAAUCGGAAUUACUGGGCGUAAAGCGUGCGCAGGCGGUUUUGUAAGUCUGUCGUGAAAGCCCCGGGCUCAACCUGGGAAUUGCGAUGGAGACUGCAAGGCUUGAAUCUGGCAGAGGGGGGUAGAAUUCCACGUGUAGCAGUGAAAUGCGUAGAGAUGUGGAGGAACACCGAUGGCGAAGGCAGCCCCCUGGGUCAAGAUUGACGCUCAUGCACGAAAGCGUGGGGAGCAAACAGGAUUAGAUACCCUGGUAGUCCACGCCCUAAACGAUGUCUACUAGUUGUCGGGUUUUAAUUAACUUGGUAACGCAGCUAACGCGUGAAGUAGACCGCCUGGGGAGUACGGUCGCAAGAUUAAAACUUAAGGAAUUGACGG
rnacentral:rRNA from 1 species